GGCUUUAUAGUCAAUAAUGACAUUAGAUUGCAAAUCUAAAGGAGUGUAAUAUACUAAGGCUU
rnacentral:tRNA from 1 species